CCAUAACAAAUAAAUUCCAAAAUAAUAUACAGUAUAUUGAAUAAAAAAAUAGGUUUUUUGCUUUUGAUAACAGCAGAGAACAUUGUGCAAUUCUAGUAUAGUAGAUAGUAACAGAAAGGAAUUUAUUUUAGAAUUUUUCAUUACCUAGGCAGAUUUUUCAUCUUGCAAAUACAGUUUCAAAGGAUAAAUGACAUUGUUUGCUGUUAUCUUCCAAUUGUGACCAAUUUAAAAUUAUGUAUUUUUCUUAAACUUUGAAAUAAAGCAGAAAAAUCCUUUCUGUUACCAACUCUGUCCUGUUACCGUUGUGCUGUUACUCAAGAUUCUUUCAUGUUACCGACAUAUCUGACUAUAUUUAAGUAUAUUUCUAAACCUUUUGUAUUGCAAAUGCU
rnacentral:lncRNA from 1 species